rnacentral:rRNA from 1 species
UACGAAGGGGACUAGCGUUGUUCGGAAUUACUGGGCGUAAAGGGCGCGUAGGCGGCCUUCUAAGUCGAACGUGAAAUCCCCGGGCUCAACCCGGGAACUGCGUCCGAUACUGGAAGGCUUGAAUCCGGGAGAGGGAUGUGGAAUUCCAGGUGUAGCGGUGAAAUGCGUAGAUAUCUGGAGGAACACCGGUGGCGAAGGCGACAUCCUGGACCGGUAUUGACGCUGAGGCGCGAAAGCCAGGGGAGCAAACGGG